CAUACCUACACUAUCAGAUCAGAUCCAAAAGAGAAAAAAAAGAGAAGUCAAUUCACUUCAUAGAGUAUGAAUAAAGAAGGAGAGAUCGUCAACCAUCUUUCCGACGAGGCUGCACCGAUCAACUUCAAAUAUUUGUUAUAAUUUUAUUUUAGUUUAUUGUUUUUUUAAAUUUUUUGUAAUUAAAUUUUAAUUUUAAUUAAUAUAAAAUUUAUUUUAUUAUAUUUUAAAUUUUUAUCUUUUAUUUUUAUUGC
rnacentral:lncRNA from 1 species